rnacentral:rRNA from 1 species
CUACGGGAGGCAGCAGUAAGGAAUAUUGGUCAAUGGAGGCAACUCUGAACCAGCCAUGCCGCGUGGAUGAUGAAGGUCUUAGGAUUGUAAAAUCCUUUCACCGGUGAAGAUAAUGACUGUAGCCGGAGAAGAAGCCCCGGCUAACUUCGUGCCAGCGCCGCGGUAA